GAUGAACGCUAGCGGCAGGCCUAACACAUGCAAGUCGAGGGGUAGAGGUUGCUUGCAACCUUGAGACCGGCGCACGGGUGCGUAACGCGUAUGCAACCUACCUUUUACAGAGGGAUAGCCCAGAGAAAUUUGGAUUAAUACCUCAUAGUAUAUAACCUUCGCAUGUUGGUUAUAUUAAAGUUUCAACGGUAAAAGAUGGGCAUGCGUCCUAUUAGCUAGAUGGUAAGGUAACGGCUUACCAUGGCAACGAUAGGUAGGGGUCCUGAGAGGGAGAUCCCCCACACUGGUACUGAGACACGGACCAGACUCCUACGGGAGGCAGCAGUGAGGAAUAUUGGACAAUGGGCGCAAGCCUGAUCCAGCCAUGCCGCGUGCAGGAAGAAGCAUCUAUGGUGUGUAAACUGCUUUUGUACAGGAAGAAACACCCCGACGUGUCGGGACUUGACGGUACUGUAAGAAUAAGGAUCGGCUAACUCCGUGCCAGCAGCCGCCGUAAGAC
rnacentral:rRNA from 1 species